rnacentral:misc_RNA from 1 species
AAGUCGUAACAAGGUUUCCGUAGGUGAACCUGCGGAAGGAUCAUUAUUGAAUAAACUUGGUCGGGUUGUGCUGGUCUCUUGGGACAUGUGCACGCCUGGCACCAUUUUUAACCACCUGUGCACCCUUUGUAGACCUGGAUACCUCUCGGGGAAACUCGGUUUGAGAACUGCCGCGCGAAAGCCUGCUUUUCUUGCAUUUCCGGUCUAUGUCUUUAUAUAAACCCCACAAGAAUGUAACAGAAUGUCAUUAAUGUAAUGGCCUUUGUGCCUUUAAAUAAAAUACAA